UGGCGUUUGCUCGUAAUGGCACUGGAAGAAUUCACGGGAUUUAUUUUCAUUGUUGAUCGACUCAGCCUUUUGUGGCUUUGAUUUGUUCAAGACCCAUUUUGUUGAUGUCCGUCAACCCCGUGAUCUUUCUGUUCCAUAAUGAGCGAGAUUGUCC
rnacentral:pre_miRNA from 1 species